UACGUAGGGCGCAAGCGUUAUCCGGAAUUAUUGGGCGUAAAGAGCUCGUAGGCGGUUUGUCGCGUCUGCCGUGAAAGUCCGGGGCUCAACCCCGGGCCUGCAGUGGAUACGGGCUGGCUAGAGGCAGGCAGGGGAGAACGGAAUUCCUGGUGUAGCGGUGAAAUGCGCAGAUAUCAGGAGGAACACCGGUGGCGAAGGCGGUCUCUGGCCGUGUACUGACGCUGAGGAGCGAAAGCGUGGGGAGCGAACAGG
rnacentral:rRNA from 1 species